rnacentral:rRNA from 1 species
CAUGGUUGUCGUCAGCUCGUGUCGUGAGAUGUUGGGUUAAGUCCCGCAACGAGCGCAACCCUCGACCUUAGUUGCCAGCAUUCAGUUGGGCACUCUAAGGUGACUGCCGGCUAAAAGUCGGAGGAAGGUGGGGAUGACGUCAAAUCAUCAUGCCCCUUAUGACCUGGGCUACACACGUGCUACAAUGGGCGGUACAAAGGGUCGCGAACCCGCGAGGGGGGAGCCAAUCCCAAAAAAGCCGCUCUCAGUUCGGAUUGCAGGCUGCAACUCGCCUGCAUGAAGCCGGAAUCGCUAGUAAUCGCGGAUCCAGCAUGCCGCGGUGAAUACGUUCCCGGGCCUU